AGAGUUUGAUUCUGGCUCAGAACGAACGCUGGCAGCGUGGAUUAGGCAUGCAAGUCGAACGGGAAGCCGUUGCUUCAAGUUUUCGGACGAGAAGCGACGGUGGAGAGUGGCGAAAGGGUGAGUAACGCGUGGGCAAUCUGCCCUUAAGUUGGGGACAACCAGCCGAAAGGCUGGCUAAUACCGAAUGUGGUCCGGUCUCGCAUGUGACCAGGAUUAAAGACGGGGAUUCUUCGGAACCUGUCGCUUGAGGAGGAGCCCGCGUCCCAUCAGUUAGUUGGUAGGGUAACGGCCUACCAAGGCUUACGGGUAGCUGGUCUGAGAGGAUGGUCAGCCACACUGGGACUGAGACACUGCCCAGACUCCUACGGGAGGCUGCAGUCGAGGAUCAUUCGCAAUGCGCGAAAGCGUGACGAUGCGACGCUGCGUGGAGGAUGACGGCCUUCGGGUUGUAAACUCCUGUCAUUCGGGAAAAAUAGCAGGAAGGAUAAUACCCUUUCUGUAUGAUGGUACCGAAAGAGGAAGCCACGGCUAACUCUGUGCCAGCAGCCGCGGUAAUACAGAGGUGGCGAGCGUUGUUCGGAUUUACUGGGCGUAAAGCGUACGUAGGCGGUUUUAUGUGUCGGAUGUGAAAGCCCAUGGCUCAACCGUGGAACUGCAUCCGAAACUAUAGGACUAGAGUACAGGAGGGGAGAGCGGAAUUCUUGGUGUAGCGGUGAAAUGCGUUGAUAUCAAGAAGAACACCGGUGGCGAAGGCGGCUCUCUGGAAUGUUACUGACGCUGAGGUACGAAAGCGUGGGGAGCAAAACAGGAUUAGAUACCCUGGUAGUCCACGCCGUAAACGGUGUGCACUUGGUGUGGGGGGAGUUGAACCCCUCCGUGCCGGAGCUAACGCGUUAAGUGCACCGCCUGGGGAGUACGGCCGCAAGGCUAAAACUCAAAGAAAUUGACGGGGGCCCGCACAAGCGGAGGAGCAUGUGGCUUAAUUCGAUGCAACGCGAAGAACCUUACCAGGGCUUGACAUGGCUACCCUUCGGGGGUGGUAGCGAAAGUUACCUUUACGAUCACAGGUGCUGCAUGGCUGUCGUCAGUUCGUGCCGUGAGGUGUUGGGUUAAGUCCCGCAACGAACGCAACCCUUGUGUUUAGUUGCCACCGCGGGUGUUAAACUCGCGAGCACUCUAGACAGACUGCCCGUACAAGCGGGAGGAAGGUGGGGACGACGUCAAGUCAGUAUGGCCCUUACGCUCUGGGCUGCACACGUGCUACAAUGGCUGGUACAGAGGGCUGCAAUACCGCGAGGUGGAGCCAAUCCCAAAAACCAGCCCCAGUUCGGAUUGGAGUCUGCAACUCGACUCCAUGAAGUUGGAUUCGCUAGUAACGGCGCAUCAGCUACGGCGCCGUGAAUACGUUCCCGGGCCUUGUACACACCGCCCGUCACAUCAUGAAAGCCGUCUGCACCCGUAGUCGCUGAGCCAACCAAUUUAUUGGAGGCAGGUGCCGAAGGUGUGGGUGGUGAUUGGGAUGAAGUCGUAACAAGGUA
rnacentral:rRNA from 1 species